rnacentral:rRNA from 1 species
UACGAAGGGGGCUAGCGUUGCUCGGAAUCACUGGGCGUAAAGCGCACGUAGGCGGAUUGCUAAGUCAGGGGUGAAAUCCUGGAGCUCAACUCCAGAACUGCCUUUGAUACUGGCGAUCUUGAGUCCGGGAGAGGUGAGUGGAACUGCGAGUGUAGAGGUGAAAUUCGUAGAUAUCAGGAGGAACACCGGUGGCGAAAGCGGCUUCCUGGCCCGACAUUGACGCUCAUGUACGAGAGCGUGGGGAGCAAACAGG